rnacentral:rRNA from 1 species
CCUACGGGAUGCACCAGUGGGGAAUAUUGCACAAUGGGCGAAAGCCCGAUGCAGCGACGCCGCGUGAGGGAUGACGGCCUUCGGGUUGUAAACCUCUUUCAGCAGGGAAGAAGCGAAAGUGACGGUACCUGCAGAAGAAGCGCCGGCUAACUACGUGCCAGCAGCCGCGGUAAUACGUAGGGCGCAAGCGUUGUCCGGAAUUAUUGGGCGUAAAGAGCUCGUAGGCGGUUUGUCGCGUCUGCUGUGAAAGCCCGGGGCUCAACCCCGGGUCUGCAGUGGGUACGGGCAGACUAGAGUGCAGUAGGGGAGACUGGAAUUCCUGGUGUAGCGGUGAAAUGCGCAGUUAUCAGGAGGAACACCGAUGGCGAAGGCAGGUCUCUGGGCCGUAACUGACGCUGAGGAGCGAAAGCAUGGGGAGCGAACAGGAUUAGAUACCCUUGUAGUC